AGAGUUUGAUCCUGGCUCAGGAUGAACGCUAGCGGCAGGCUUAACACAUGCAAGUCGAGGGGCAGCAUAAAACAUUGCUUGCAAUGUUUGGUGGCGACCGGCGCACGGGUGCGUAACGCGUAUGUAACCUACCUAUAACAGGGGGAUAACACUGAGAGAUUGGUACUAAUACCCCGUAACAUCAGAGGAGGCAUCUUCUUUGGUUGAAAGUUCCGGCGGUUAUAGAUGGGCAUGCGUUGUAUUAGCUAGUUGGUGGGGUAAUGGCUCACCAAGGCGACGAUACAUAGGGGGACUGAGAGGUUAACCCCCCACAUUGGUACUGAGACACGGACCAAACUCCUACGGGAGGCAGCAGUGAGGAAUAUUGGUCAAUGGACGCAAGUCUGAACCAGCCAUGCCGCGUGCAGGAAGACGGCUCUAUGAGUUGUAAACUGCUUUUGUAUGAGGGUAAAAUUGGGUACGUGUACCUAACUGAAAGUAUCAUACGAAUAAGGAUCGGCUAACUCCGUGCCAGCAGCCGCGGUAAUACGGAGGAUCCAAGCGUUAUCCGGAUUUAUUGGGUUUAAAGGGAGCGUAGACGGGAGAUUAAGUCAGUUGUGAAAGGCUGCGGCUCAACCGCAGCACUGCAGUUGAUACUGGUUUCCUUGAGUGCGGUUGAGGUAUGUGGAAUUCGUGGUGUAGCGGUGAAAUGCUUAGAUAUCACGAAGAACUCCGAUUGCGAAGGCAGCAUACUAAGCCGCUACUGACGUUGAGGCUCGAAAGUGUGGGUAUCAAACAGGAUUAGAUACCCUGGUAGUCCACACGGUAAACGAUGAAUACUCGCUGUUGGCGAUACAAUGUCAGCGGCCAAGCGAAAGCAUUAAGUAUUCCACCUGGGGAGUACGCCGGCAACGGUGAAACUCAAAGGAAUUGACGGGGGCCCGCACAAGCGGAGGAACAUGUGGUUUAAUUCGAUGAUACGCGAGGAACCUUACCCGGGCUUAAAUUGCACUGGACAGGCCAAGAGAUUGGCUCUUCUUCGGACCAGUGUGAAGGUGCUGCAUGGUUGUCGUCAGCUCGUGCCGUGAGGUGUCGGCUUAAGUGCCAUAACGAGCGCAACCCUUGCCAAUAGUUACCAUCAGGUGAUGCUGGGGACUCUAUUGGGACUGCCAUCGUAAGAUGUGAGGAAGGUGGGGAUGACGUCAAAUCAGCACGGCCCUUACGUCCGGGGCUACACACGUGUUACAAUGGGAGGUACAGAAGGCCGCUACCCGGCGACGGGAUGCCAAUCCCCAAAACCUCUCUCAGUUCGGAUUGGAGUCUGCAACCCGACUCCAUGAAGCUGGAUUCGCUAGUAAUCGCGCAUCAGCCACGGCGCGGUGAAUACGUUCCCGGGCCUUGCACACACCGCCCGU
rnacentral:rRNA from 1 species